GACGAACGCUGGCGGCGUGCCUAAUACAUGCAAGUAGAACGCUGAAGCGAGGAGCUUGCUCUUCUUGGAUGAGUUGCGAACGGGUGAGUAACGCGUAGGUAACCUGCCUGGUAGCGGGGGAUAACUAUUGGAAACGAUAGCUAAUACCGCAUAAAAUGGAUUAUCGCAUGAUAAUCCAUUGAAAGGUGCAAAUGCAUCACUACCAGAUGGACCUGCGUUGUAUUAGCUAGUUGGUGGGGUAACGGCUCACCAAGGCGACGAUACAUAGCCGACCUGAGAGGGUGAUCGGCCACACUGGGACUGAGACACGGCCCAGACUCCUACGGGAGGCAGCAGUAGGGAAUCUUCGGCAAUGGACGGAAGUCUGACCGAGCAACGCCGCGUGAGUGAAGAAGGUUUUCGGAUCGUAAAGCUCUGUUGUAAGAGAAGAACGAGUGUGAGAGUGGAAAGUUCACACUGUGACGGUAUCUUACCAGAAAGGGACGGCUAACUACGUG
rnacentral:rRNA from 1 species